rnacentral:ncRNA from 1 species
AGCUAGGGGGAAGCCGUCGGUUUCCGCAAGGAAUUGAAAGGGAAUCCGCCGGGGUCCAAGGCCCCGAACCGGAACUGCCCCCGCAACUGUAGGCGGCGAGCAGGAUGCAGAACGCCACUGUGGCCGCAAGCCAUGGGAAGGCCGCAUCCCGCCGCGACCCGCCAGUCAGGAGACCUGCCGACGUCGUAGACCAACC